UACAGGGGGGGCAAGCGUUGUUCGGAAUUACUGGGCGUAAAGGGCUCGUAGGUGGCCGACUAAGUCAGACGUGAAAUCCCUCAGCUUAACUGGGGAACUGCGUCUGAUACUGGAUGGCUUGAGUUUGGGAGAGGGAUGCGGAAUUCCAGGUGUAGCGGUGAAAUGCGCAGAUAUCAGGAGGAACACCCGUAGCGAAGGCGGCACUCUGGGCCGAUACUGACACUGAGGAGCGAAAGCGUGGGGAGCGAACAGG
rnacentral:rRNA from 1 species